AAGGUGGUUUGCCUUUAAUCGGGCGAUUAAAAGGGAACCGUGUGCGAAUCACGGACAGUCCCGCUGCUGUGUGCGGCAGAGUGAAUAUCUAUGACGAAUAAUCAUGACGAAUUUUCGCGACGGAUAUUUACUAAGGAUAAGCAAUCAGUCACUGAGAACGACGCUGUUAGUUGUCUUGGGAAGACGCUUGUCUGAAGCCGCGAGCCAGAAGACCUGCCUCUUGGUGU
rnacentral:ncRNA from 1 species